CUUGUGCGCUUUUCCAAAAAACAGGAAUUAAACAUAUAUUGACUUAGAAAAAGACACAUUCCUGAUUGAAAAUGUUGAUAUAUAGAAGCGUCAAAAGUUCUAAAUUCUGCUGAGACACUCUUAACCCGACAAAGACAAAAAUUAACCGAUUCCAUCUUUCGACCAAAUGAAGGGUUAUUUGAGUCCAUGCAUGUCUGCUAGAUUGGCUAAAACAAAAAUUUAGCUGACUUUGUUAAAGAAAUUUACCUUUCUUGCUAUCUGGGUGAUAUUAAGUGUAAUUCCAGAUGGAAGUAAGUGAGCACAAUCCAGUCCAGCAUGAGAAGUGGCUUACAUCAAAAGCUAAAAAAGAGAACCUACAAUUCGGGUAAUCAUCUCGUCAAAUCUGUCAUUGUUUACCUACAAUUUCUAUUUGUUAUUUUUCCAGCCUUUCUCCCUUUAACGCCAUUAUAUGCUAACAAAGACAUGAUUCAUAUAUGAAAUUGUUAGAGCUGCAAACAUGAAUUUUUUUAUUUUUUAUUUUUUUUUAAAACAUCAUCUAUUUUACUGAAACAAUGAGAAGCCUAUUGAAGCGUGCUUUCCAAAAAACAGGGACAUCGUCUCUUUAAUACUGAUUUGCAUGUCUCUUUAACCCUGUAAUAAAUCCAAAUAAACAUGAUUUCCAUAAUAUGCAGGAUAAAUACUCUGCAUUAACUUGUAUUUAAAACAUAAACAGCAGUGAACUUCAUUGUUUGUUUUGCUCAUAAUCAUUAUCAUCUUCCAUCCCAUCUGUUUUUGCUUAAAAGAUUGUGUUUAUUAAUUUUGUCCCAAUCAAAUAUUUGAGACAUUUCGUUUCUACUUUGAACGUGCUGCUGCUAACCUUCUUCAAUGUUAAUAUGUAUCUAUCAAAAUUUAAGAAUAUGAUGUGUGGUGUUUUCAUACAAAAUAUGGAACUCAUUGAAAUGUUACGUGUGAUCUAUUAUUUUCUUUUCUCACAUACAUGUGAAUCUUAUUGCUGGAAAGUAAGCUCUGGAUAUGAUCAUUUCUUUUACUACAUUUUUUACCUAUGCAAGAACUCAAAUUAGAGUUGUACAGAAAGCAAUUACCAUAAACAAUAUCAUCAUACAUGAGUCUCACUAUGGUAAGAUCAUUUUAAUUGAUGUUUAUUUUAGUUUUCUCCGAACUCAUUUAGUAUCUCUUUCCUAAUCAAAAAACAUUUUGUAAUUGUCAUUGCAUUUUCUAGUCCAACUUGGUAAAUGUGCGUGAUCAAAUAAAUUAUUGUGUCCCGUAGUUAUCUAGAUUUGACUAGGAUUCUAAGGGUCCUUAUUAAAUGGAAUAUUUUCAUUCGACAAUUGUAAUUAUGCUCGAACAGGGCGACAAUUGUAAUUAUGCUCAAACAAGGCCGAGACUUCCUCGAGUCCUUAUGAUGAAUUAUAAGGUUGAAAGCUUGUCUCUAUUGAUCAGUGGUUGCUCUUGGACUUGACAUGGCUUUAGAAUUAUACUCGAAAGAGGUCAAGACUAAGUCUGAACUCGGUCUUUGCGAGGGGAUACGUUCAAACUAGGUUGAGACUCACUUGGACUUGUGUGUAAAUUGGGCCGAGACUCGCUUGGGCUUUAUUAAACCCACAAGAUGAAAUAUUCUUUGACGAGGAUGACAUUCGGGCUCAACUCGUAAAGGAAAUUAAUCUCAAACGAAAUCUAGACAUACUUGGGCUGUACUCUCGAUCGAUCUGAGGAAAAAUACUGCUUGAUAGAGGUCUCAACGAAGGCCUUAUUAUAUAAAUCAUAGUCGGUCAAAUAUUGUAACUUAUAAGAUAGGGUAUUCAAAUGAGGUUGAGUCGCGCCACAAGCGUACGAGACUUUUGAAGACCAUAUUUUUAAACUCUCUGUUUAUGAUAUCAUUUACUCAAUCCUAGCUCUCGUUGCGUCAAUUCUGGUGGCAAUCAGAUCAGUCAUUGUUGCCUUCUUCAGUCUUCGGUUAAAUAUAAAAUGAUGUACUACAUGCUCCAGCGUCAUCUUUUGACACUGGUCCAUCUGGAAGUACUGGUGAGUUUAAAACUUUAUUUAUUUAUGCAAAUAUAUACUCACGAAGUGGCAUUUUACUUUUUUUUGGGACACAAUGACAUAUAAUUAUUAUAUUAUCUUGAGAUCUGGCUACUAGCUCAUAUGAGUGGCUUCCUCAAGAAGUAAAACGUAGCAAAAACACUUUCAGAAAAUGGAGCAGCAGCAGCUUUUUUACUUACAAGAGAUGAGGGGAGGUUGCCGUGAUUCUGUUUCUCCUUAAUGUUAUGGGCAAGGACAGAGAAAGUUACCCGGUAUGGCUAAGAUUUAAUUUUCAAGCAUUUGCGCAAUUGCGCCUUGUUUAUUUACUAACAUUAUUUAUGUAGAUUAUAUCCCCCAGAGUUUUGUUUCAUGCUUGGAAGUUUGCUAUGUCUGGGUAUUUAUUGAUUCACAAAUUCAUGUAAUGCUUCUCAGUAGCUGGUAGAAACUUAUUUUCUUUUAAAAUAACUAUCCCAUUAUGAAAGAACUGGGAGGGAGAGCUUCCAGGCUGGAGUGGUUCACCCACAAAAAGAAAGAAACCCGGCCAUCUCUUUGUCAUGACCCUGCAGCUUGAGGAAAUACACAGAAAUGACUCACCCCCUGUAGCAAAUUUUAAUAUUGACUUUUGACCCAUUAAAUCAAUUAAAAAAAAAAAUUAGUUAAAAAAUAACUUUACACACAAAAGGGGGUUUACUUUUAAAUUUGACACAAUUACAAAAAUAUAUUGUUGAAAGGACUUUACUAUCCUUUUAGUUAAUAAUUGAAAAUCAAACACUUCCCCACUUAUAAAACUUUAAAACGAGCUUCCAACAUAAAAAAAACUCUCAUCUUUUAUCUGCUUGAACCUCAAAAUUUCAAAAAACUUUCAAACACUGAAAUCGAAAUUUUUUUCAUAUCAAUUACUUCAAAUCGGUAAGUAUAUUUACGUAUAUUUAAUUGUAUUUUUAGUAAAUUAGUGUACGUUUGAAUAGAGAAAUUUUAUUUCGACAUACUAGUUAGUAUAAUUUUUUUUAACAUAUCUUACUUAUCAAAAUUUUUUUUUUAAUAGAUCUAUAAUUUUUUUUUCCUUUAGAACCGUAGAAGAAAAAAAUUUAUACGCAAAACAAACUGUCGGCCGUAACAGCCAAAUUGUCGCUGUAGGCUGUUAAAUAAUCGACAGUCGGCGGUUUACAGUCGUGUCGGCUGUUUAACAGCUAAACACUCGGCUGUUUCCACAAAAAUCGAUUGUUAAAGCCAAUCACUAAAGCUGUUUUAACGAAAUUUUUGUUAAUUAAUUAAUUUUUGUUGGCAUUGAUUUUUUUGCUUAUAAUUAAUAAAUAAACAUAUGAAUUUUUUUGUUGUAAGUUAUUAAAAAAAUUCUAUUUUCUUAUGCAGAUAUGAUAAUCCUUAUUUCGG
rnacentral:lncRNA from 1 species